rnacentral:rRNA from 1 species
UACAGAGGGUGCAAGCGUUAAUCGGAAUUACUGGGCGUAAAGCGUGCGUAGACGGUUACGUAAGUCAGAUGUGAAAGCCCCGGGCUCAACCUGGGAAUUGCAUUUGAGACUGCGUAGCUAGGGUGCGGAAGAGGGAAGCGGAAUUUCCGGUGUAGCGGUGAAAUGCGUAGAUAUCAGGAGGAACACCGGUGGCGAAGGCGGGUCUCUGGGCCGAUACUGACGCUGAGGAGCGAAAGCGUGGGGAGCGAACAGG